UGGGGAAUUUUGGACAAUGGGCGAAAGCCUGAUCCAGCAAUGCCGCGUGUGUGAAGAAGGCCUUCGGGUUGUAAAGCACUUUUGUCCGGAAAGAAAUCCUUGGCUCUAAUACAGUCGGGGGAUGACGGUACCGGAAGAAUAAGCACCGGCUAACUACGUGCCAGCAGCCGCGGUAAUACGUAGGGUGCAAGCGUUAAUCGGAAUUACUGGGCGUAAAGCGUGCGCAGGCGGUUCGCUAAGACCGAUGUGAAAUCCCCGGGCUCAACCUGGGAACUGCAUUGGUGACUGGCAGGCUAGAGUAUGGCAGAGGGGGGUAGAAUUCCACGUGUAGCAGUGAAAUGCGUAGAGAUGUGGAGGAAUACCGAUGGCGAAGGUAGCCCCCUGGGCCAAUACUGACGCUCAUGCACGAAAGCGUGGGGAGCAAACAGGAUUAGAUACCCUGGUAGUCCACGCCCUAAACGAUGUCAACUAGUUGUUGGGGAUUCAUUUCCUUAGUAACGUAGCUAACGCGUGAAGUUGACCGCCUGGGGAGUACGGUCGCAAGAUU
rnacentral:rRNA from 1 species